AUUGAACGCUGGCGGCAGGCUUCACUCAUGCAAGCCGAACGAGUGGCGGACGGGUGAGUACUGUCUGGGAAACUGCCUGAUGGAGGGGGAUAACUACCGGAUACGGUAGCUAAUACCGCAUACCAUCAGAUGUGCCCAGAUGGGAUGAGCUAGUUGGUGGGGUAACGGCUCACCAAGGCUACGAUCCCUAGCUGGUCUGAGAGGAUGACCAGCCACACUGUAACUGAGACGCGGUCCAGACUUCUACGUGAGGCAGCAGUAGGGAAUAUUGGACAAUGGGCGCAAGCCUGGUGCAGCCAUGCCGCGUGUAUGAAGGAGGCCUUCGGGUUGUAAAGUACUUUCAGCGGGGAGGGGUUACCCGCAGGAGGAGCACAGGCUAAGUCCGUGCCAGCAGCCGCGGUAAUUC
rnacentral:rRNA from 1 species